rnacentral:rRNA from 1 species
GUGGGGAAUUUUGGACAAUGGGGGAAACCCUGAUCCAGCGACGCCGCGUGAAGGAUGAAGGUUUUCGGAUUGUAAACUUCUUUUGCAGGGGGCAAAGGCCGGCAACGGCGUGAUGGUACCCUGUGAAUAAGCCACGGCUAACUACGUGCCAGCAGCCGCGGUAAUACGUAGGUGGCGAGCGUUACUCGGAAUUACUAGGCGUAAAGCGCGUGUAGGCGGGAGCCUAAGUCCGCUGUGAAAACCCGUGGCUCAACCACGGGCGUGCGGCGGAUACUGGGAUUCUUGAAUUCGGUAGAGGCAGCUGGAAUUCCGGGUGUAGCAGUGAAAUGCGUAGAUAUCCGGAAGAACGCCAAAGGCGAAAGCAGGCUGCUGGGCCGCAAUUGACGCUGAGAUGCGAAAGCUAGGGGAGCAAACAGG